UACGGGGGGGGGCAAGCGUUGUUCGGAAUUACUGGGCGUAAAGGGCUCGUAGGUGGCCAACUAAGUCAGACGUGAAAUCCCUCGGCUUAACCGGGGAACUGCGUCUGAUACUGGAUGGCUUGAGUGUGGGAGAGGGAUGCGGAAUUUCUGGUGUAGCGGUGAAAUGCGUAGAUAUCAGAAGGAACAUCAGUGGCGAAAGCGGCUUCCUGGUCCAGUACCGACGUUCAGGCACGAAAGCGUGGGGAGCAAACAGG
rnacentral:rRNA from 1 species